rnacentral:lncRNA from 1 species
AGAGGGCUCUGAAAUAAAACCAUAAAAACGGAGGCGUGAGAACUAUUAAAAAUAGUUUCCAGUGGGCAAUUACUGACUUCAGUGAAAUGCGCAACUAGGCCCAAAACUGAACAAAAGAGAGUAAGUACGAGAAUAAUCAAAAGGAAUAACAACAACUAAACAUAAGUACUUACUAAACCAUGAUGUCUCAACUCAGCAUGAACUUGCGUAAUUAAUAAAGCUACUAUAACAUGAAUGUACAUGAAUGUGACUAGCAUGUAUAAGCAUGAAUAUGCAACCAACGGAAU